CGCACAUUGCGCCCAUUAGUAUUCUAGUGGGCAUGCCUGUUCGAGCGUCAUUUCAACCCUUAAGCCCCUGUUGCUUAGUGUUAGGAGACUACGCCCUCGGCGUAGCUCCCUAAAGUUAGUGGCAGAGUCAGUUCAAACUCUAGGUGUAGUAAAUUUCUUCUCGCCUCUGUAGUUGGGCUGCCCCUCGCCGUAAAACACCCCAAAUUUUAAAGGUUGACCUCGGAUCAGGUAGGAAUACCCGCUGAACUUAA
rnacentral:misc_RNA from 1 species